AAGGGAGACCUAAUUCCGGUAGGAGACGAAAAAAAAGUAGUCCCAACCAAGAAUCAAUCCCAAAAGGUCGGAACGAGGUAUGAGGCUUUCAAACUAGGUUCUGGGUUCAUAAAAGACCUGAAUCAGGAACAAGGGCUAUUAGCUCAGGUGGUUAGAGCGCACCCCUGAUAAGGGUGAAGUCCCUGGUUCAAGUCCAGGAUGGCCCACCUGCACAGGUGGCAAAAACAAGAGAAGCUCCGAAUCAGCACCUUAUCUUAUAUACAUAUAUAAGAGAGAAUGCUGGCUCUGAGUACAGAGUCCAGAGGAACCUUGAAAACUGCAUAGAGCUAGGUGAAAAAGCCAAAAAAGAAGACCGCAA
rnacentral:tRNA from 1 species